rnacentral:rRNA from 1 species
UACGGGGGGGGCAAGCGUUGUUCGGAAUUACUGGGCGUAAAGGGCUCGUAGGUGGCCAACUAAGUCAGACGUGAAAUCCCUCGGCUUAACCGGGGAACUGCGUCCGAUACUGGCGGGCUUGAAUUCGGGAGAGGGAUGUGGAAUUCCAGGUGUAGCGGUGAAAUGCGUAGAUAUCUGGAGGAACACCGGUGGCGAAGGCGGCAUCCUGGACCGACAUUGACGCUGAGGCGCGAAAGCCAGGGGAGCAAACGGG